rnacentral:misc_RNA from 1 species
UACGGAGGGUGCAAGCGUUAAUCGGAAUUACUGGGCGUAAAGCGUGCGCAGGUGGUUGUGCAAGACAGAUGUGAAAUCCCCGGGCUUAACCUGGGAAUUGCAUUUGUGACUGUACGGCUAGAGUGCGGUAGAGGGGGAUGGAAUUCCGCGUGUAGCAGUGAAAUGCGUAGAUAUGCGGAGGAACACCGAUGGCGAAGGCAAUCCCCUGGGCCUGCACUGACACUCAUGCACGAAAGCGUGGGGAGCAAACAGG